rnacentral:rRNA from 1 species
AUACGGAGGAUGCGAGCGUUAUCCGGAUUUAUUGGGUUUAAAGGGAGCGUAGGUGGGAUAUUAAGUCAGCUGUGAAAGUUUGGGGCUCAACCUUAAAAUUGCAGUUGAUACUGGUUUCCUCGAGUACGGUAUAGGUGGGCGGAAUUCGUGGUGUAGCGGUGAAAUGCUUAGAUAUCACGAAGAACUCCGAUCGCGAAGGCAGCUCACCGGGCCGGAACUGACACUGAUGCUCGAAAGUGCGGGUAUCAAACAGGAUUAGAUACCCUGGUAGUCCGCACAGUAAACGAUGAAUACUCGCUGUUUGCGAUACACUGUAAGCGGCCAAGCGAAAGCGUUAAGUAUUCCACCUGGGGAGUACGCCGGCAACGGUGAAACUCAAAUGAAUUGACGGGG